ensembl:antisense Gm42984 predicted gene 42984
UCGCAGACGCCCGCCAUGUUCCGAGAGCCACACACUGUCCCCGCCACCUCCCUCCAGCCGCCCGCCCGGCCUCCGCCUCCCGCCGGCCCCCUCGCCGCCUCGCCCCGCCCCUCGCCCGGGCAGCCGCCAUCCGUAGCCCGCCGGCCGGCGCGCGCCAUUGGCGUCAGCGGCGCGUGGGAGGCCGCGGUGGCCGCCGCCACGGCCGCCGCCAUCUUCUUCCUGCCGUCGCCGUGGCGCGCGGCGGGCUCUGCGGACCGGGGCGCCGCGCCGGGCUCCAUGCCGCCGGGUCGCGCGGUGGGGGACGGUGGGCGGCGGCGGGGCUCGGCGUGGUUGUCCGCGCGGCCGGAGCCCCUUGUGCCCGUGCGGUGGCCGGAGUGCGCCGGCGCGACCCGCCUGGCCUUGGCUGCACGGCGACUGGGGCCGGGCUCCAGCUCUGUGGCUCCCGCCGGCGCCGACCCGGUGGCUCUGCUGUCUUGGCUGCAUCUCUCCUGCAUAUUUAUGAUCGUCUGUCACAUUCCCUGUCCGUGGACAGUGUCCAAAGCCUAGCUCGGGGGAGCGUGCCAACAGCCAGCUGAGGAUAUAGCCAAGUGGAGAAUUGCUUAAGCAAAUUGAAAUGAAGACCUGGCCUGAAAAUUUUCCCUAGCUAACAGUCCCCUUCCACCUCGGAAAUAAGCUUACUGAAAUUGAAAACAUGAUCAAAACUUUGCCUUAUUAUUUGCAAAUGCUUAUGAUAUAGAAAAAAAUGUUAAGCUCUACCAGCCGAAAGCAUCAGCCUGACAUAACUUCAACACUCCAGGGAGUCUGCACUGGGAUGGACAAAAAAUAAAGUGGCUGUGGGACUAUUGCAGCCAGAUCCGUUCUUUCUUUCCAUGCUCACUUUGUGGAAGCCUGUCCCUGGGCUUCUCUGAUGAAGCCCCAAGCCCCUUCUGAAUUUGUCCUUCAGGAUCUGUGAAUGGUUGCUUGCUCAAAUACAUUCUUGAACAUUUU